rnacentral:rRNA from 1 species
GACGAACGCUGGCGGCGUGCUUAACACAUGCAAGUCGAACGGAAAGGCCCUGCUUUUGUGGGGUGCUCGAGUGGCGAACGGGUGAGUAACACGUGAGUAACCUGCCCUUGACUUUGGGAUAACUUCAGGAAACUGGGGCUAAUACCGGAUAGGAGCUCCUGCUGCAUGGUGGGGGUUGGAAAGUUUCGGCGGUUGGGGAUGGACUCGCGGCUUAUCAGCUUGUUGGUGGGGUAGUGGCUUACCAAGGCCUUGACGGGUAGCCGGCCUGAGAGGGUGACCGGCCACAUUGGUACUGAGGUACGGCCCAGACUCCUACGGGAGGCAGCAGUGGGGAAUAUUGCACAAUGGGCGGAAGCCUGAUGCAGCAGCGCCGCGUGCGGGAUGACGGCCUUCGGGUUGUAAACCGCUUUCGCCUGUGACGAAGCGUGAGUGACGGUAAUGGGUAAAGAAGCACCGGCUAACUACGUG